AUCUAUGGCCAGACCGGAUUGAUUCCAUCUGAUCUUGGAAGCUACGCAGGCCCGGGCCUCAUUAAUACCUGGAUGGGAGACUGCUUGGGAAUCCUGGGUGCUGUAGGCC
rnacentral:rRNA from 1 species